ACAGUUCUAGAACACUCGUAUGGUUCUGGGGGACUUGAAGAGUCUCCUCGGAGCUUCUCCACGCGGGGAGUCCUCCCUUACUGCCUCUUGCCUCCACCUCGUCUUCCCUCUGGCACCCAGCGUCACCAAGACGGAGGCCCCCCCGGGACACACUUGUCAUUUGGGUAACCGAGCAGGACCCAAGAAGUGCAGAGGACAGUGGGCGGCUGGCACAGAACUCAGGCUUUGCCUUCCCGAGGAGGAUGAGCCUGCUCAUAGCCACGUGCAGUGAGAGAGUCAAUUAUCAAGUCAAGUGAUGAGUGACGGAUCCGCUCACCCUGCCCUCCCCGCCAGGUGCCCGCCAGCUCGGCCGCAGCCCAGAAUUACACAUCGGGUUUGCAGCCUUUCCCACGGUAAACAGUUGUUCUCCAGAGGAAAAAAUAAAGACUCUGUGUGUGUGUG